GUUUUAAUUCAUAAGAAAGAAAGUAUUAUGAAGUCUAUUUGAUCUCCUUUCAAUUCAGAUGCCAGCUUAUUGUGUGUCCAAUUUCAAUAUCUUGAAAUCCUAAGAAGCUGGCAGUGUAUAAAAGUAGUAGCAAUUUCUGUUUUUUGGUUAUUGCAAUCAAUAUAAUAGAUAGGUCUAGUUCAUUCAUAUCUGAUACUGGGUGUCUAACUUAAAUGUAUUUUCACAGCUUACCAUCAAAUGUUAAUAUUUAAUUCAAGUUCUUUAUUUCAGACUGUUUAGAAUAGUCCAUGUGGUUAGAGGGAAUGACAGUGAAAGCAUAUACUUAAGUGACAGCAAUCAGUUCAGGCAAUGGGAGUGAUCUUUAUCUUCACUAUCUAAUCAAAUACUUUCAUAACAUCUAAAGACCAAGGUAGCAGAGAGCUAAAUAUCUUGUUUGGCAGUAUCCUGUGCUUGAAUGGCAGUAAUCAGUUCCAGCAAUUAGAAUGACUAUUGCCCUUUUCUAUCUAAUUAAUUGUCCUUUCAUAAUAUCUAAUGACUGAAGUAGCAGAGAGCUAAAUUUCUUGUUUGGCAGUUUAUACUGUGGCUUAAAAAAAUGCAACUGUUAUCUUAUUUUGUUCUCUUUUGGAGUGUUACAUAUCAUGUAGAACUUCUACAAAUGUUCAUAAAAUCAAUUUUCUUCUGUGCUUGAUUUUAUCCAAAGAGAAACCAAACUUCUCGUCUUAAAGUAUGUAUUUUUUGGAAUUUUGUUAUUCAAGCAUGUUUUUCAUAUAUUUUCAAUCAAAUCUUUUUCUUUUUCCUAUCAAUAAAAAAGUAGAAUGUCAAACUUUAUACGUCUUGAAGUAACUGAUCUGAUACAUGAACUUGAAGUAGCAGAGCCAAACAGUUCCUUUGAGACACUAAAAGUGAUUGCUGUGAGCUCCUUCACCAAACUAACCCCCUCACC
rnacentral:misc_RNA from 1 species